GACGAACGCUGGCGGCGUGCUUAACACAUGCAAGUCGAACGGAAAGGCCCUGCUUUUGUGGGGGGCUCGAGUGGCGAACGGGUGAGUAACACGUGAGUAACCUGCCCUUGACUUUGGGAUAACUUCAGGAAACUGGGGCUAAUACCGGAUAGGUGCUCCUGCUGCAUGGUGGGGGUUGGAAAGUUUCGGCGGUUGGGGAUGGACUCGCGGCUUAUCAGCGUGUUGGUGGGGUAGUGGCUUACCAAGGCUUUGACGGGUAGCCGGCCUGAGAGGGUGACCGGCGACAUUGGGACUGAGAUACGGCCCAGAGUCCUCCGGGAGGCAGCAGUGGGGAAUAUUGCACAAUGGGCGGAAGCCUGAUGCAGCAACGCCGCGUGCGGGAUGACGGCCUUCGGGUUGUAAACCGCUUUCGCCUGUGACGAAGCGUGAGUGACGGUAAUGGGUAAAGAAGCACCGGCUAACUACGUG
rnacentral:rRNA from 1 species